rnacentral:rRNA from 1 species
CACGUAGGGACCGAGCGUUGUCCGGAUUCAUUGGGCGUAAAGAGCUCGUAGGCGGCUGUUCAAGUCGAACGUGAAAACUCGGAGCUCAACUCCGAGCCUGCGUUCGAUACUGGACGGCUAGAGUCUGGUAGGGGGAUCUGGAAUUCCUGGUGUAGCGGUGGAAUGCGCAGAUAUCAGGAGGAACACCCGUGGCGAAGGCGGCUCUCUGGGACGGUACUGACGCUGAGACGCGAAAGCGUGGGGAGCGAACAGG